GAACGCUGGCGGCGUGCUUAACACAUGCAAGUCGAACGGAAAGGCCCUGCUUUUGUGGGGUGCUCGAGUGGCGAACGGGUGAGUAACACGUGAGUAACCUGCCCUUGACUUUGGGAUAACUUCAGGAAACUGGGGCUAAUACCGGAUAGGAGCUCCUGCUGCAUGGUGGGGGUUGGAAAGUUUCGGCGGUUGGGGAUGGACUCGCGGCUUAUCAGCUUGUUGGUGGGGUAGUGGCUUACCAAGGCUUUGACGGGUAGCCGGCCUGAGAGGGUGACCGGCCACAUUGGGACUGAGAUACGGCCCAGACUCCUACGGGAGGCAGCAGUGGGGAAUAUUGCACAAUGGGCGGAAGCCUGAUGCAGCAACGCCGCGUGCGGGAUGACGGCCUUCGGGUUGUAAACCGCUUUCGCCUGUGACGAAGCGUGAGUGACGGUAAUGGGUAAAGAAGCACCGGCUAACUACGUGCCAGCAGCCGCGGUGAUACGUAGGGUGCGAGCGUUGUCCGGAUUUAUUGGGCGUAAAGGGCUCGUAGGUGGUUGAUCGCGUCGGAAGUGUAAUCUUGGGGCUUAACCCUGAGCGUGCUUUCGAUACGGGUUGACUUGAGGAAGGUAGGGGAGAAUGGAAUUCCUGGUGGAGCGGUGGAAUGCGCAGAUAUCAGGAGGAACACCAGUGGCGAAGGCGGUUCUCUGGGCCUUUCCUGACGCUGAGGAGCGAAAGCGUGGGGAGCGAACAGGCUUAGAUACCCUGGUAGUCCACGCUGUAAACGGUGGGUACUAGGUGUGGGGUCCAUUCCACGGGUUCCGUGCCGUAGCUAACGCUUCAAGUACCCCGCCUGGGGAGUACGGCCGCAAGGCUAAAACUCAAAGGAAUUGACGGGCCCCGCACAAGCGGCGGAGCAUGCGGAUUAAUUCGAUGCAACGCGUAGAACCUUACCUGGGUUUGACAUGGAUCGGGAGUGCUCAGAGAUGGGUGUGCCUCUUUUGGGGUCGGUUCACAGGUGGUGCAUGGCUGUCGUCAGCUCGUGUCGUGAGAUGUUGGGUUAAGUCCCGCAACGAGCGCAACCCUUGUUCACUGUUGCCAGCACGUUAUGGUGGGACUCAGUGGAGACCGCCGGGGUCAACUCGGAGGAAGGUGGGGAUGACGUCAAGUCAUCAUGCCCCUUAUGUCCAGGGCUUCACGCAUGCUACAAUGGCUGGUACAGAGAGUGGCGAGCCUGUGAGGGUGAGCGAAUCUCGGAAAGCCGGUCUCAGUUCGGAUUGGGGUCUGCAACUCGACCUCAUGAAGUCGGAGUCGCUAGUAAUCGCAGAUCAGCAACGCUGCGGUGAAUACGUUCCCGGGGCUUGUACACACCGCCCGUCAAGUCAUGAAAGUUGGUAACACCCGAAGCCGGUGGCCUAACCGUCGUGGGGGAGCCGUCGAAGGUGGGACUGGUGAUUAGG
rnacentral:rRNA from 1 species